AGUCGCUCCUGUGGUCACGGUGAGUGGAGGCACGAAGGAGGCUUAGUUCCUGAUCGGUAGCCUGGUCUGGGCAAUCAGGUCGCUGAUUAGGUGAAAAGAGAGGAUGGUGUAACUAUGGGGACCAUAUUAACUUCUGGCAGAACCUGCUCCUCCCCCUCCUGCCACUGCAUUGUGGGUAAUGGCGGUGUGCGUAAACGCGCUUGUUCUGUGGGCUCCAUCUUUACUAUUGGCAGGGAGACCCUUUGCCAGGGUUACCUGAGGUUCCUGAUAGGGGUGAGUGGGGUCGGUACCAGGGCUCUAUUAACCGAAUAAUUUGUAAUUAUGUUUUUAAUUAUUUGCUUGAAUAUUCUAUAUCCUCUCCAAUAGAUUAUAAUCCCUCUGUGGGUAAGAUGCUGUCUUUAACCUCACUGCCUCAUUCGUAUCUGUGAAAUGGAGAGGGGAUUAUUAUAAUACCUUCAUUAUAGACUUACGGUAAGGAUCCAGUGACAUAAUGUUAUGUAGUAUUAUUCAAUAACUAAUUGUCAUUAUACCGUUUUUUUUGUUUGUUUUUUUUUUGUUUGUUUUUUUUUUGGCCGCACCCACUGCCUAUGGAAGUUCCUGGGGCUAGGGAUCAAACACACUUGAUAGCAGCAAUCUGAGCCACAAUGAUAAAGCCGAAUCCUUAACCUGCUGAGACACCAGGGAACUCCUCAUUAUACUCUUAUGUAUACUCCUUUGAGCAUAUGGUGGAUGCCAAUGAAUGAAGGAAAAACAGCAUAGUUAGUGAAGGAAGACUAUAUAUAAUACACACACACACACACACACACACACACACACACACAUAUACUUUUUUUUUUCUUUUUUUUUUUGGCUGCUCUGCAGCAUAUGAAGUUCCUCUGCUAGGGGUCAGCUCUGAGCUGCCAGAUUCUUUAACCCACUGUGCCAGGCCAGGGAUCAAACCUGCCUCCUGACACUGCAGACUCUGAUGAUUCAGUUGUGCCACAGCAGGAAUUCCAGGGGAAGACAUUUUUGAAUGUGGAUUUCACCAUGUGCUAGCUACCUAAGCGUAUGACUCAAGGCAGGUCACUCAACCUUCCUAAGCCUCAGUUUCCAGUAUCUGGAAAAGGGAACCCAAAGAGUUGUGGUGUUAUCAUUGGUCCAUGUAUCACUGUGAAGUGGAUAUAGUACCUGUGCUAUCUGUAACUGUUAGGGGAAGUUGUUAAAAUAAUAAUGGUUAAUAAUAAUCACUUACUGAACAUUUGCUGUGUGCUACAGUGUUUGGCAUUAUGCAAAAACUAUUCGUAAGACUCUAGUCUAAUCCUACCUUUUGGUAGGGGGUCAAUUGAACUUUGAUUCCCCACCUAUGAGCAUGACUGUGGUGGAUUGUGGGCAAAGACGGCUGCCAAUAAGCCCUCUCAUCUUUGCAUGAGGAUGCUGUUUCUCCCAUCAAGGAGUAAGCUAUUUCUCCUCCUUUUGAAUCUGGCUGGUCUUAUCACUUGCUUUAACCCAUAGAAUGUUGUAUAAAUGACCCUGCCAAUUCUGAGUCUAAGCCUGAAGAGACUUGGCAGCUUUUGCUUCUAUUAUCUUGGGUCUAAAGAUGUCUGGCUACCCAGCUGGAGAGCCACAUGGAGGAGGGAGGCCCAGCUAACUCCUCAAGAUACUCUAGAUUCCAGCUGAGCACUAGAAUGUAAAUGAAAUCAUCACAGACAUUCUAACCCUAGCUGAACUGCCAGCCGAAUGCAGCCAUAUGCAUAAUCUUAUCUGAUGCCACAUGGAGCAAAAAACCUGCCCAGCUGAGCCUAGUUGUUUUAGAUUUUGGAGUAGUUUCUCAUGCAGCAAUAAAUAAUUGAAACACAUAUGUAAUAACUCCUGUGACCCACACAACCACCCUGAAGAGUAGCAGAACAGAUAAAUCCUCAAGGGGAGGAAGCUUGAAAGACUAGGGGAGGGAUUUGUCUGAAGUUUCACAGCUACUAAGCCAUAGGCUCCAAACUUGGAACCACUUCUGGAGCUUGAAUCCUAGGUGUUUGCCAUUAUUUCUGGAUGCCUUAAGAGAGAUGAUUGAUAAGGAACAAAACCCCCCAAAAAUGGCUCAUUAUUCCUCAGUAUUUCUUUUUACUCUCCUUAUACUUUCUGUUUUUCCCAAAGGCUUUCAGAUCCCAGUCUCCUUUGGUAACAUACAUAAAUAUAUCAGAAUCCUGGAGUUAGGAGUUCAUCGGGUUCUUAACCUGCUGAGUCACAAGAGAAACUCCCUGAAAUUUUUUUUUAUUGUGGUAAAAUAUACAUCACAUAAAAUUUGUCAUUUUAAUCACUUUUAAGUGUACAAUUCAGUGGUAUGAAGGACAUUCACAAUAUCGUGCAGUCAUUACCACCAUCCAUCUUUGAAACCUUUCAUCAUUCCAUUAAACACUAAUUCCCCAAUACCUUCCCUUUAGCUCCUAGUAACCACUCUUCUACUUUCUGUCUCUAUAAAUUUACCCAUUCUAGAUACCUCAUAUCAGUGAAAUUAUGCAAUGUUUGUCCUUUUGUGUUUGGCUUAUUUCAUUAAGCAUAAUGUUUUCAAAUUUCAACCAUGUUGUAGCAUGUAUCAGAAUUGUAUUCCUUUUUAAGGCAUUUGGGUUAUUUCCGCCUUUUGGCUAUUGUAAACAAUUUGCUGUGAAUAUGAGUGUACAAAUAUCUGUUCACAUCCCUUCUUUCACUUCUUUUGGGUAUAUACCCAGAAGUGCAAUUACUGAAUCAUGUGGUAAUUCUAUGCUUAACUUUUUGAGGAACUGCCAUACCUAUUUUCCACACUGGCUACACCAUUUUACAUUCCCAUCGGCUUUGCACAAGGGUUCUAAUUUCUCCACAUCCUCACCAACACUUGUUAUUUUCUGUCAUUGUUAUAUUUAAUAAUAACCAUAUGAGUGGAUGUGAAGAUGCACAAGUCUUUCAACCUCUCUAAACCUCAGCUUCCUCAUCUGUAGAGCACAGGUUCUAAAAGUCCUUACCUCAUAGGAUGGUUAUGUGGCUGAAUAAGUUCAUAUAUGUCAAAAGGUUAAAAUAGUGCCUGUCCCAUGGUAAGUGCUAUGUACAUGUUUGCUGUUAUUACUUUGAGGUAAGUAGGGCAGGCCUUUUUAAUCUCUUGAAUGAUUAAGAUAGAUGUUGAGGAACUUGGACAAGGUAAUCCAGCAAAUCAGAAGGAGGACAAGGCUUGACUCAAAUCCACUGGGGUGAAUCCAUGACUCUGUUGUAUAUCCAGACGGGCAGACAAAACCAAACCCAAAACAAAGGGCUCUUAUAGUAACUUGGAGGCAUGUCAUUCCAGACACUUGCAAAAGUGCCUCUCCAAGGAGAGUGGGAGGGCCAGGAUGGGCUUAGAGGAAGCAGAUCUGAUCCUUGGGUAUCUCCAAGGGAAAGGGUAAAAUGUAUUAGUUCGUGCCCCUCUCACACUGGUUUCCGUUAUCUAUUGCUGCAUAAUACAUACGCUAAAACUCAGUGGCUCGAAACAACAGUGAUUUAUUAUUUUCCUUGAUUGUGUGGGUUGGCCAUCUGGGAGAUUCUGAUGGUUUCAACUGGGAUCUUUCAUGCACUGUCUCAUCUGCUGGCUCAGCUGUGGCUGGAGGGUCCAAGGUGGCCUCAUAUGGCUGCAAGACUGGUGCUGACUAUCAGAAGGUCUUUUAUCCUCAAGGAGAGCAGCCUAGGCUUCCUCACAGUGUGGUCUUGAGGUCUCUGAGGGUGAGAGCAAAAGCUGCUAGACUCUUCCUACAGCCUAAGCUUCAGAACUCUUAUAGCAUCAGUGCCGUCACAAUCUAUUGGUCUAAAGAAGUCACAAGAUCAGUCCAGAGUCCAGGUGGGAGGGGACCACACAAGGGCACAAAUUAAAGGAGGCAUGAAUCGCUGGGGGUUAUUUGGUAACAAACCGUGGCACCUUCCUUGCCUAGGCAACCCUCCCCUCUCUCACCUGGGCAUCUGGGGUGGCCUUCUACCGGGUUUUCAUGCUCCCACCUCCCACUCUUGUCAUCUCUAGUCUCCACUUAACAGUUAAAGUAAUCUUUUUUUUUUUCUUUUUUUUUUUUUCGGUCUUUUUAGGGCCAUACCAGUGGCAUAUGGAAGUUCCCAGAUUAGGGGUCAAAUUGGAGCAACAGCUGCCGACUACAGCCACAGCAACAAGGGAUCCAAGCCACGCCUACGACCCACACCACAACAGCUCACAGCCAUGGCAGAUCCUUAACCCACUGAGCAAGGUCAGGGAUCGAACCCGAAACCUCAUGGUUCCUACUUGGAUUCAUUUCCACUGCACCACGAUGGGAACUCCUCUCCCCUGUUUAAAACUCUCAAGUGCUUCCCACUGCGAUAACAUAAAAUCCCAGGUCCUCACUCUGGCCUGCAAGGGCCUCCAUGAUCUGGCCUUGACUCCUCCAUUCCCCCUUCACUCACCAGGGUCCAGCCACGCAGACCUCCCUGGGACUUGCUAAGCUCAUCUCCAUCUCAGGGCCUUUGGACUUGCAGUUCCUUCUCUCUGGAAUAUUCUUCUCUCAACAUUUUGUGUGAUUCGCUCCUUCUCACCAUUAGGCCACUGCUCAACUGUGACCUCAAAGAGAUGUUCUGUGCCCACCUCCCCAUCAUGUAGAUACUUUUGUUAUUUGUUAUUGUCCACCUUCCAUGAAAACCUACACUUGGGUCUACGGUGUUUCCAGCUGUGUCCCUAUUAAGUACGUGCUCUAAGGGCGUUCCUGCUGUGCCUCAUGAGGAUACAUCCUAGUAUCCAUGAGGAUGUGGGUUUGAUCCCUGGCUUUGCUCAGUGGGUUAAAGAUUCAGCAUUGCCACAAACUGUGGUGUAGGUCACAGACGUGUCUCAGAUCUGGCGUUGCUGUGGCUGUGGGGUAGGCUGGCAGCUGCAGCUUUGAUUUGAUCCCUAGCCCAGGAACUUCCAUAUGCCCCAGGUGGGGCCCCAAAAAAAAAAAAAAAAAAA
rnacentral:lncRNA from 1 species